GUGUGAGAGUGAAGGAAGUAUGCAAACCGUUCUCUGACACACUCUGUGAGCCUCUGGAAGGACAUUACUGCAUUGACCCAAUCAAAUAUCGCUGUCAAAGAGCUGUGGAAUUCUCCGAGUGCAAACCAGGACAGUACAUCAAACUGAAAGGUACUGCAUCCUCAGAUACUGUCUGCAAAGACUGCAGCAGCGGCACAUACUCAGACAGGUCCUUAACAUCCUGCAUCCCACACACACAGUGUAAAUUACCCUAUGUUUUGGGGAGAUCAGGGACCUCAUCAUCAGACGCUGAAUGCCACUUGUCCUCCUUGGCUGUGGCCAUUGCUGCUGCCGUGUGUUCCAUACCCUUCCUGAUAAUUAUGUUCCUUGUGUGCCGAAAAUGCUGUUUUUACUCUCCUCGAGUCCGUUCAUACCUCCCAUGCACCAAUAGUGCGCACCGUCACAAGAACCAAAAUCAGCCAUCUUGACACUUGUUGCUGUGGUGAUCUGGAGGAUGAAGAAUAAUGGACCGUGAUGCCAGGACUGGCCACCACGACAUCCGUAAUGAUGACCGCCAUUUAACUUCUUAUGCCUUUAAUGGAACGAGGCUUUUUGUGCCUUGGCUUCGAUGGAAUGGAUGAGAUUGUGACAGGAAAUGAGUGGGAGAGGCAAAGAUGGGGUAGGGUUGGGAAAUAACCCAGGCUGGACUCAAACCCAGGUCCCCAUGA